GCCAACCCAGUGUUCAGACUACCUGUUCAGGGGGCUCUGAAUGUGUACAGUAGUCUGCACAUUGGUUAGGC
ensembl:miRNA